rnacentral:lncRNA from 1 species
GGUUGCGUUUCUACGUGCUGAUCUAUGAGGAGACAUUGUUUUGAUAAGGAAAUAAGAAGAACUAUAAGUUUUAAUGAUUUGAAAGUCGCGCAUUAGUGAUUUGUUAUAUCAGAAGUUUGGUUUACCCCUGAAUAGGGUUUUGAGUUCGACUCAUAAGGAGAGUAGAUAAACUCAUGAAUUGGAGGGGUAUGCAAAGGGUUUAAUNGGGGGGGUAUCCAAAGGGUUUAAUAAAGGAAAUACAUCAUAUAUU